CCGAAACCCGGUGAUCUAGCCAUGGGCAGGUUGAAGGUUGGGUAACACUAACUGGAGGACCGAACCGACUAAUGUUGAAAAAUUAGCGGAUGACCUGUGGCUGGGGGUGAAAGGCCAAUCAAACCGGGAGAUAGCUGGUUCUCCCCGAAAGCUAUUUAGGUAGCGCCUCGUGAAUUCAUCUCCGGGGGUAGAGCACUGUUUCGGCUAGGGGGCCAUCCCGGCUUACCAACCCGAUGCAAACUGCGAAUACCGGAGAAUGUUAUCACGGGAGACACACGGCGGGUGCUAACGUCCGUCGUGAAGAGGGAAACAACCCAGACCGCCAGCUAAGGUCCCAAAGUCAUGGUUAAGUGGGAAACGAUGUGGGAAGGCCCAGACAGCCAGGAUGUUGGCUUAGAAGCAGCCAUCAUUUAAAGAAAGCGUAAUAGCUCACUGGUCGAGUCGGCCUGCGCGGAAGAUGUAACGGGGCUAAACCAUG
rnacentral:rRNA from 3 species